rnacentral:rRNA from 1 species
CCUACGGGCGGCAGCAGUGGGGGAUAUUGCACAAUGGGGGAAACCCUGAUGCAGCGACGCCGCGUGGGCGAAGAAGUAUUUCGGUAUGUAAAGCCCUAUCAGCAGGGAAGAAGAAAUGACGGUACCUGAGUAAGAAGCACCGGCUAAAUACGUGCCAGCAGCCGCGGUAAUACGUAUGGUGCAAGCGUUAUCCGGAUUUACUGGGUGUAAAGGGAGCGCAGGCGGCACGGCAAGCCUGAUGUGAAAGCCCGCGGCCCAACCGCGGGACUGCAUUGGGAACUACCGGGCUGGAGUGCCGGAGAGGUAGGCGGAAUUCCUAGUGUAGCGGUGAAAUGCGUAGAUAUUAGGAGGAACACCAGUGGCGAAGGCGGCUUACUGGACUGUAACUGACGUUGAGGCUCGAAAGCGUGGGGAGCAAACAGGAUUAGAUACCCUAGUAGUC